rnacentral:lncRNA from 1 species
GAGGGAGGCGACGCCCUGGGAAAACAGGAGCGCCGCUCCGCCGGAGAUGGGAAGGGCCAGGAAGGAUUCCCGGGGGGUGGGGGCGGGCGAGUCCCGGGCUGCCGCUCCUGCCCAGGCAAAGGCAAAGGCGGCGGGACCCGGGCCAGCGCCGCUGCCCCCCCUCCCUCGCGCUCCUCCUGCCGGGGAAACAAUCGCCCGGACUUUCCCAGCGCCUCGGCCGUGCCAAGGGGGCCGAGAGGGACGCGGUGGCGGCGGGGCAAAGAGGCCGUCGGGGCGCGCCGGGCGAGGCAGGAGGCAGGAGAGUCGAGGCGACGAGGCGAGGCGAGGCGGGCAGCGGCGCGCGGAACGGAGUCGGCCGGCCCGAUNAAGGCGCGGCGGAGCCGGGAGGCGCGGACCAUGCUCGGAGGCGCUUGGCUGGCGGCCCUGGUGCUGGUGGGAAGCCUCUGGGCGCAGGUGGCAGGACAACCAGUUGCUGCAAAGCAGUGUGGGAAAGAAUGCCCCAAAUUUCAGGAAAAAGAACUGCCCCUGCAAAUCCUGAAAGGCUAUGAAAAGCAAAUGUGUGGUGCAAAGANGGUGGUGUUCUUCAUCACCAAGAAGAAACGGGAGUUCUGUGCCAAGCCUGAGACAAACUGGGUGCAGAAACGAAUAAAAGAGCUGGACACACGUGCCGAAGCGGCAGCUAAAUCUGAGAAACUCGCAGGAGACGUGGUCCCAACACCAGCUCCGACUGGAGACCCGUUUCGCUCCCCGUUUAAUCCGGCAGCCUCCACAACAAUAACACUUCCUCCUGCAGGAACAGGUAAUGCCAACCCAACGGAAGGGAUGCUUACGUCAGGUGGGCCAGAGACCGCAAAGAUGACCACUUCCGAGUUAGAAGCCAAAGCAACGGUAGCCACUCUUCAACCCACAUUUCUGGCAAAAGGGACGAGGGCUUCUAAGACCACGGAAAGACCAAUGGGACUUGGGGAGGGGCUCACGUCCACUGGGAAAGUGCCUGGUUUGACCACAGCUCCUACCGUCCUAGGAAGCACCAUUUUCAGCAGAUCGGUGGCGCUUCCCACGCAGCCAACAGCGCAUCCAUCUGACUAUUCAUCGAGCAGAGUCANGACCAGCACCACGUCCGCAGGUGCGACAGCCCCAACAGCAGCCUCCAGGGCCCGAUCUUCUUCCAACCCACCGAGUUCAGUUCAGAGGACCCCCAGCCCAGGUACACGGCCCCAGUCCACUGCAGACCUCACAACUGAGGUCCAAAGGAGAGACUUCUCUGGUCAGUCCACCACAGAGUCUGGCUGGGACGAAAGGGGAGCUGAAGACCAAAGUAGGGCAGUUAAGGAUUCAGCUGUUCCAGCAGGUGAAGAUUCAGAAUCCCCUUUGCUUCCUGAAGCCAACCUCAGCACUUCUACCGAGGCACUGGCCCUUGGGUCAACUUCAGGCUUCCUCCAGGAAAGUUUAGCUGAGAGGAGCAGAGCACGGGCGAUAGCGAACGCUCCAGAAGAUACGCAGACUGUCUUUCCCAGCGAGCUGGCCGAAUCCCGAACUCACGUCAUCUCCGUGGGUUUUGUGGCAAGCUUGGUGGGCAUCACUGCCACUCUUGGCUUGUACUGGGCAUAUGCUAAGUCUAGCAUUAAUGGUGGCAGAACCUCCUCCAAGGAGAUGGUUCAGGGGCUGAUGUUCACUCCGUCGUACUCUCAGGCUGAAUCACAUUCACUGGAGAGCUUUUAACCAGCAGCGGCGGCNGCUGGCUUUAAGCCCGGGUGUUNGCGCCCCAUGCAAAGUACACCAUGGCUGUUGGCGGGGCCUCCGGGCCUCCAUACUGCCUCAGCAGGUUGCCUAGCACUCCCAUCCAGGAUGCCGUCAUGCCCUGCAGACACUGUGCCUCCAAUGGUGAUCAUGCCCAGAAAUGGGGCUGCACAAUCACUGUGAGGCGCUUUCUGUCCCCGCACACAGAGACAUAGCAGCAAAAGGCCCUUUUUUGGAUGCCUUUUUUGUUGGCGAAGGCUGGUAGUGAAUCCUGCAAUGUCUUUAUACUCCAACAGGAUUCUGCUUGUAUGAAACUGGUUGGACCUCGAAAUAAUUACCUGUUGAUAGAUGGAGCUCUGUUGUUAAAGAUCUUGUCNGAGGUCUAAUGGAUUACUUGCCAAAAACAUCCUCUGCCCUUCUUCCAGCCUCUUAGCAAACCCAACCUACUCCCAAUUCCUUUUCUGUCUUUUCAGACGUCCCUGCCCUUCUGCGUGAAAUUAGGUCAUGGACAGCGAUAGCCUAAGAUCUCUUACCCAAAUGCACANUUUGCUCAGGCUUAUCUUUAUGGUGCCAUAUUGUACCUGAUUAGUACCGGGAUGGGAGGCCACCAGGAAAUGCUGGGUCUGUAUGCUAGACUGGGGAAUUUGAAAAGCAUCCCAGAAAAAGAAAUGGACAAAAACACUUUGGUACUGUGCUAAGAAGAUGAAGAAGAGGAAGGCUGCUUUCCCAUGUGAAUACCAGCAGCUGAGCUCAACGGAAGUGUGCCCAGGCUGGGGAGGAGGCACGUAGGAUAUGUUGAAAUUUGCACAUGGACUAACAAGACCAAACACUAUGAUACUUAACUACGUUGGAGAUGCACUUUUGUACUAUAACCACAACAGUGAGCUAUUUAAUGUUUUAUAUUUUCUUUUUUUAAAAAAAAAAAAUAAAACUCUAACCCCAGUUGCCUGUCA